UAAUAUCCCAUCUCAUAAUAUCCCAUCCUAUAAUAUCCCAUCUCACCCCAUCCCAUAAUAUCCCAUCCUAUAAUAUCCCAUCCCAUAAUAUCCCAUCCCAUAAUAUCCCAUCCUAUAAUAUCCCAUCCCAUCCAUCCCAUAAUAUCCCAUCCUAUAAUAUCCCACCUCAUCUCAUCCAUCCCAUAAUAUCCCAUCUCAUCCAUCCCAUAAUAUCCCAUCCAUCCCAUUCCACCCCCCCUCCCCCCUCUGUCCCAGUUCCGGUUCCGUCCCGGUUCUGGUUCUGCUCCAGUUCUGUCCCGGUUCUGGUUCUGUCCCGGUUCUGGUUCUGUCCUGGUUCCUGUUCUGUGCUGCUUCCGGUUCCAUCCCGGUUACGGUUCUGUCCUGAUUCCGGUUCUGUCCCGGUUCUGGUUCUGUUCUGGUUCCAUUUCUGUCCCGGUUCCAGUUCCAUCCCAGUUCCAGUUCUGACCUGGUUCCGGUUCCAUCCCGGUUCUGGUUCUGACCCGCUUCCAGUUCCGGUUUUGUCCCGGUUCUGUUUCUGUCCGGUUCCAUUUCUGACCCAGUUCCAGUUCCGUCCCGUUCUGGUUCUGACCCUUUGUUUCCCGCAGGCUCCCCGUUCUGUGUCCCUGUCUCAGACCCAGUUGACCCAUCCCAGGUCCCGGUUCUGUCCCGGUUCUGGUUCUGGUUCUGGUUCUGGUUCUGGUUCUGGUUCUGGUUCUGGUUCUGGUUCUGGUUCUGGUUCUGACCCAUUUAUUUCCCGCAGGCUCCCCGUUCCGUGUCCCUGUUUCAGACCCAGUUGACCCGUCCCAGGUCCCCUGUUCUGUCCCGGUCCUGGUUCUGGUUCUGGUUCUGGUUCUGGUUCUGGUUCUGGUUCUGACCCGUUAUUCCCACAGGCUCCCCAUUCCGUGUCCCCGUGUCAGACCCAGUUGACCCAUCCCAGGUCCCGGUUCUGGUUCUGGUUCUGGUUC
rnacentral:lncRNA from 1 species